UACUGCUUCAAACAAUGAGAUGCGGCAGCAUCCCUAGUUCCAGCACCUAUGGUCACAGAGAUCAGAUUCCUAAAUCUGUUUCCACGUUCCUAAAUCAUCCCCUCUCAGGCCUUUUUCUUAAAAUUAUUUUGACACUGAUCAUCUAAGCAACAAUAAAAUACAAUAAUUAUGAAGGUGUAAGCUACAGAUAUUUUAACAAAACACGCAGCAGGUGAAGGAACCAUUUGGAAGGAGAGAGUCACUGAACAACUCAUACUCAGUCAUAUUCUAACAUUUUCAGUGACCCCUGUUCAUUCAGAUUUUGCAGGCACAGACACAAUGACUUGGGGAAAAAAUUAACCCUGACUCGCUAAGGACUCAAUUUUAAGCAGUGAAGUAAACUCAGUCAAUUCUCCUUUAGAAUUAGGUUACUUCUGGAUAUUUCCUGAGCAAAGGCUUCCUACUGCACCAAGCCAUACUGAAAUAUCUGUUUGAGGAGUUUGGUAUGCAAAUCAUAAUUUUGUGAGAGAGAUUAAACUUGUACCCAGGAAUUAAUUCCCACAUGGUGUCCCUGAAUUGGAAUCCUAAAUCCCACAUAUCCAAUGCAACACUUUUCCCUCUAACUCCUUAUAUGCCAGGGUGUGAUGUGUGCUAUUAAUUUCAAUGAAAUUCAAGAGUUCCCAGUAGGCUGGCAGGAUAAUUUAAUGAUUAAGAUACCUGUCUGCAGGAGGAAGAAACCCCCAAAAGUUAACACUGCUCAGUAAACGAAAGAAAAAGGUACUUAAUUUGUACUAGUAACUGAAGGUUCUUCAAGAUGUGUGAUCCCUAUCUGUAUUCCACUGUGGGUAUGUAUGUGGUCCAUGCACCCAGAGUUGGAGAAUUCUUGAAAACAGGGUUAGUCCACACAUGUGCCCCUGCUCUCUUCGUGCCUCCAACCGAGGAGAUAAAGGGCAGGGCAGACUGACUCCCUCUCCAUUUCCUUCUCUAUUGUGAAUCCAAGAACAAUCCGAAGUAGAGGGGAAGAAAGGUGGAUACUGAAAUAUAGAUAAGGACCACACAGCUCAAAGAACCUCCAGUUACUACAAGGUAACUUUCUCUUCCAGUGCUGGUCCCCAUGUGUAUUCUAUGGUGGAUGACUGACAUACAGGAGAAUGCAUCGGUGGAAUGCUGUACAAAGCCUAAUUUCUUGCAAAUGUGUGACUGGAACUCCACAUAGCUUUUUUGCAGAUGUCUUGAAGCAAUGACACUGAUGUUGCUUGUGCUCUUGUAGAAUGAGCCCUCACCCCAUGAGGGGGAGGAAUGUUAGACAGCUUAUAGCAAACUAAGAUACAGUGCAAGAUCCAUUUAGAGAUUCUCUGAGAAGAUAUAUCUUGACUUCAAACUCUUUCUGCUACAGCUAUAAACAAUCUGGGAGAUUUUCUGAUUGUUUUUGUCCUUUGCAGACAAAAGGCCAAUGCUUGUCGCAUGUUGAGGGAAUGAUAUCCCUUUCUUUUUCAGAUCCAUGUGGUUUUGGAAGAAAACACAGAAUGAAGCCGAAGCUGCAGACACUGACGGUUCCAACCCAGACCAUGUGGUGGUGAGAAGGAACUGCAGAGACUGUUGGUCCGCCCUGUCCUUUACCUCCUUGGUUGAAGGCACGAGCUCAUUAUUUAUCUAUGAGUAACACAGUGAAAGUCAAGCAGAAUGCAAGAACAGAAAGGCCAAUGAAGUCUUGUUUUCAUCUGCUAAUUUCACCAUUUCACUACAGUCAU